UACAGAGGUCCCGAGCGUUGUUCGGAUUCACUGGGCGUAAAGGGUGCGCAGGUGGGUUGGCAAGUUCGAUGUGAAAGCCCCGGGCUUAACCCGGGAAUGGCAUUGAAAACUGCUGAUCUGGAGGAUUGGAGGGGGGACUGGAAUUCUUGGUGUAGCAGUGAAAUGCGUAGAUAUCAAGAGGAACACCAGUGGCGAAGGCGAGUCCCUGGACAAUUCCUGACACUGAGGCACGAAAGCCAAGGGAGCAAACAGG
rnacentral:rRNA from 1 species